rnacentral:lncRNA from 1 species
AUAUAUAAAGAAAUGUUAAAUAAUUUAGACUACUCGUAUUAAAUAUAAAUAUUAAUUUUAUAAUAUUGAGCAUUCACAUAUAAAUUGUAUAUUAAAAUAUAAAAAUAAAUUGAUGCAGCUUAAGUUAAUUUUAUAUUUGACGAAAAUUAAUUGCAAGAUUCACAAACAAUGAUUUCUCUUCUCAUUCACUAACUACUGUGGGACUACGAUACCUACUAAAAUUAUUUCACUAACUAAUGGGGGACUACUAUGCGUACUAAAAUUUUUUGAUGUACUUAUUGUACUAUUUAAAUUCUGAAAUUAAUUUUUAUAACUAAUUUUGAAAAUUAAAUUUUAAAAUAACUACUCGCAGCAUCGCGCCGAUCCCUUAACUAGUAAUAAUUUAUAGGUCAAAAAUUAAUAUUAUCCAUUUCAUAAAAUUGUUAAUCGAAAAUCAAAUCAAAUAAUCUGGAUCCUUCUCGAGUCCACCUAAAAAUUUGACUCUCCAACUACCUGCCUUUCUAUUACUAUUUUAUUUUUUUUAUUUUC